AUUGAACGCUGGCGGUAGGCCUAACACAUGCAAGUCGAGCGGCAGAACAGUACUAGCUCCCGGUUACAGCGGGCGACGGGCGGGCGGUGCAUAGGAACAUGGCAAUCUGCUGUGUCUUAGGUCAGAACGCAGGCGCUCUUACGCUAUUCGCGCAGAGGGCCUACGUGUGAGAUCAUCGGAUCUUACGCCCUUGCGUGAGCCUAUGACGGAUUAGCUAGUUGGUGGGGUGACGGCCUAACAAGGCGCCGAUCCGUAACUGGUCUGAGAGGAUGAUCAGGCACACUGGAACUGAUACACGGUCCAGACUCCUACGGGAGGCAGCAGUGGGGAAUAUUGGACAAUGGGCGAAAGCCUGAUCCAGCCAUGCCGCGUGUGUGAAGAAGGUCUUCGGAUUGUAAAGCACUUUUAGUUGGGAAGAAGGGCAGUAAGUUAAUACCUUGCUGUUUUGACGUUACCAACAGAAUAAGCACCGGCUAACUUCGUG
rnacentral:rRNA from 1 species